rfam:Salinivirga cyanobacteriivorans strain L21-Spi-D4 chromosome, complete genome.
UCCAUCGUGAGGUGGAAUCUGAAAGAAUCUGGCGGUAAAACUCUGCCCCGAGGAACACGAAUCGUAUCAGGCAUAUCCAGAUGGAUGAGAUUGCAAAACAAAUCGAAGUCCCAGGACUAUACGAAAUCUGGAGUGUAAAUGCGGCGGGAACAUGGAGAGAAAGUAUAUUGU